rnacentral:rRNA from 1 species
UCCAGGCGGUCACUUCACGCGUUAGCUCCGGUACUAAAUGGUUUUACCCACCCAACACCUAGUUGACAUCGUUUAGGGCGUGGACUACCAGGGUAUCUAAUCCUGUUUGCUACCCACGCUUUCGUGCAUGAGCGUCAGUAUNGGCCCAGGGGGCUGCCUUCGCCAUUGGUGUUCCUCCACAUCUCUACGCAUUUCACUGCUACACGUGGAAUUCCACCCCCCUCUGCCAUACUCUAGCCUUGCAGUCACAAGCGCAGUUCCCAGGUUGAGCCCGGGGAUUUCACGCCUGUCUUACAAAACCGCCUGCGCACGCUUUACGCCCAGUAAUUCCGAUUAACGCUCGCACCCUACGUAUUACCGCGGCUGCUGGCACGUAGUUAGCCGGUGCUUCUUAUGCCGGUACCGUCAUCCACACAGGGUAUUAACCCAUGCGAUUUCUUCCCGGCCGAAAGAGCUUUACAACCCGAAGGCCUUCUUCACUCACGCGGCAUGGCUGGAUCAGGGUUGCCCCCAUUGUCCAAAAUUCCCCACUGCUGCCUCCCG